rnacentral:lncRNA from 1 species
CCCCGCGCCCGCGGAGCCCCGGCUCCCGCCUGCCCAGCCCCCUCCCGGGGAGCGAGCCGGGACCCAGGGGUGGGAGCAGAGUCGGGGCUUUGUGGCGCCGGGGGCCGAGGAAGAAUGAAACGUGCAGUUGGGAGUGUUGCUCGCGUCCCAGGGAGCAGCGCAGGCCCGAUUGUCUGCCGCCGAGAUGGCCUUUUGUUCGGAGCAUAAGGUUUAAGAAACACACACACGUUUUCUGGGGUCUCUUGUUGGAUGUAAAUGUGCCGCAUCCAGACGCUCGCGGNNNNNNNNNNNNNNNNNNNNNNNNNCGCCCCGCCCCGCCCCGCCCCGCCCCGGCGACCGGGACCGUUGGGACGCGGACCUCACCCAGACUUCUGGGCCGCCGGCACUGCCUUCGCCCCGUUUCACUCCAGACUAGCCAAGCAUCCCACGGAGAUGAUAAAGCAAACAAUAACAUCUGAUCAUGACGUCCACGAGAUAAUGUGCCCGGCAAAGUUCUUUAGGAAUCGGGAUGAGCGGGAGGGGAAGUCUGAUACCCAGGAGAUGAUCCGAGUUUCAACUCUCUGUGGUGAAAAGAGGGUGAAGAGCAGCAGAAGUCUAAGUGCUUUUCACCGUCUGGAAAUAUUCUAAGAUAGAAGAUCUGAGUUCACAUAUUUAAUACAGGUUAGUCUUUGGCUCUGUGAUGCUAAAUAGUUACCCUACUUAUUUCUGCUGUGUUGAGGCAGAGUAGAGGUGCUGACAGAGUUGAGAAAUUGUGGA